rnacentral:rRNA from 1 species
GAUGAACGCUGGCGGCGUGCCUAAUACAUGCAAGUCGAGCGAACAGACGAGGAGCUUGCUCCUCUGACGUUAGCGGCGGACGGGUGAGUAACACGUGGAUAACCUACCUAUAAGACUGGGAUAACUUCGGGAAACCGGAGCUAAUACCGGAUAAUAUAUUGAACCGCAUGGUUCAAUAGUGAAAGACGGUUUUGCUGUCACUUAUAGAUGGAUCCGCGCCGCAUUAGCUAGUUGGUAAGGUAACGGCUUACCAAGGCAACGAUGCGUAGCCGACCGGAGAGGGUGAUCGGCCACACUGGAACUGAGACACGGUCCAGACUCCUACGGGAGGCAGCAGUAGGGAAUCGGCCGCAAUGGGCGAAAGCCUGACGGAGCAACGCCGCGUGAGUGAUGAAGGUCUUCGGAUCGUAAAACUCUGUUAUUAGGGAAGAACAAAUGUGUAAGUAACUAUGCACGUCUUGACGGUACCUAAUCAGAAAGCCACGGCUAACUACGUG